UGGCUUUCAGGAUAUUAGUGAUAGAAGUCAUGUAGUUUUAAGUGAUUUCACAUUAUAUGUGCCACCUUGUGACCAUGUGAACAAGCCAAGCCUGGCCUCCCCAACUAUGACCGACCACAGAAUAAACAUUCCAGUUAUCUUCACAAUCUCAGUUAUUCCAGCAGAGCCCCUGAACAACCAGUAUGCCAACCACAUGCUUAUCAGUGAGGCCAUAUUCAUGACCCUUCUGUCCCAGUUGAGCCACCAGCUCACCACCAUAACAAGCUAAGCUAGCCCAAAUAAGCUGACUCUUCCAAAGAACUAACCUAAACAUGACAAAUAAUCUUUGUUAUUUAGAGCCACUUAGUUUUAUGAAGUUCAUUAUGCAGUAAAAGGGUAACUGAUGCAAAACAAAAGGAAAUCCAGAUUCUAAGAAACACUCACAUUUGGUUGCUAGAAAUAGAUAGAUAUCACCCUUUGGGUCUUCUGCACCAACUAUAUAUUUUAAAGAAAAUGUCAUGCUGAAUAUUGCAGAUGUCAUCAGCAAAAUGUAUAAACUGCACCUCCUAUCCUCUUUUCUAUUUGUCAAGUGGACCUGAUGGGUCUUGCUGAACUUCUGUACCCAGCUAAUGCUGUGGACAGUGAAGGCAUGAAGGUGUUCAGCUUACCUCAGAGACAAGCAUGUAAAAUCUGUUCCAGAAACAGUUGCUAAUAGAACUUGUGUGGGGGUCUGUGGAUAAUGAUGUAUUACUAGGGAUUAUUAUAAAAAUCUUAGCUGUACACAUUAUGAUACUGACUUCAGGCCUCUGGAACUGAAUCAGGGGAUGACUCCUGUGCAGGAUGCAGGACCACACGAAAAGGAGCAGGUGCUCUCUGUGCAUUAUAAAGAAUGAAGUCAAGACUACAUUUUUUUUGCCUUUGGAAUAUCUGCUGAGCAGCCCUGUCUCCUCUCUCCAGAACAUGACUCUCAUUUAGAUGGGCAACUGAAAGCAGAAAUCUGGUUUUCCAGAGCUUUUGAUGACAGUAUCAAAAUGAUCAUCUAUAGUGUUUUGGAAACUCUCAUAAACAUCACCCAUAAAUGAAACACGGUAUUUCAUGAAUAACAUUUCACUGCCACAUAAUUGAAACUCCUCAAUCAUUGGGCAACAUUUUAAGCAUUUUCUCCAUGCACUGUUGACUACAAGAUGGACCAGUAAGAUGAUUAAUCAUUUGUGAAAAUGCACAUUAAAAAAUUGUUACAAUUGGUAACAGUAGAAUCACCAAUUUUAAUUUUUAAACUCUGUUAUUGAUUUUAUAAUUUCUCCUCCAAAUGAUAUUGAUGGUGCUAUAUCUAAAUUCUGUGAAUAAAAUUUUAUAGGAGCACAGCCACACUCAUAUGUUCACGCAUUGCCUAUGACUAUUUUGAUCCUUCAUUGGCAGAGCUGAGUAGCUGCAAUAGAAAC
rnacentral:lncRNA from 1 species